AUGACGGGACUCUCCCAGCCCCACCUGUGCCCACUGCCUUGGGCAGGGCCUGAGUCUGGCUGGGGCUGCACCUCCCUCUGCUUGCACUGCGCCCUCUUCCCGGGACCCACCUCCCGCCCAGCUGCCUGCACCCCUUGGCCCUGGCAUCUCGGGAUCCAGCCCCCGGCUCCCCUGGGAGGCGCAGUUCGCCCUCCUGCUCCCCAUCGCAGCAGUCCAGACUUGCUGCCGAACCCACGUCUGCAGCUGGAAUGUCUCCCCAGAACCGCACACACGGCCCCUUGUGCGCUUUCGGCACAGUUCCUCAGGCCUCUCAAAUGUCACAAAAACAGUGUCUGGGGCAAGGGCACCACCUCCACCGCCAGGGAGCUCUGCUCACUCUGCGGCCAUGCGUGCAUGCAGCAGACCCCGGGGCCUUCUGCCAAAGCAUCUGGAAUCUGCCCGCUUCCAUUCUGCUGCCGCCACCCCAGUCCGGGACACGGCCAGCCUCGGCCCCGUCUGUCCACACACGGCCGGGGCAAGCCUGCUGCAGUGACAGCUGGCCGCACCCCGGCUCCGCUCAGCACCCUCCCGCUGUUCCACGGACCCGGGAAGACAAGGCUCUCGCAGAAGCGUCUCAGAUUGGAGCCCUCAGAACAGAGGGAUGACCCCAGGAAGCAGGGGCCGGAGAGGGAGGGAGGAGCGAGGAAGGGCGGGUGCCCUCACGUUGAGUUAUCACUGGUCACCUGUGGGCAGCGAGAGCUCCUCCUGGGACUUACUCCCCCAAGGCCAGGGAGCCGGGACAGGAACCCCACACCCCUCCCCCACUGGUCAGGGCUCCUCCAGCGUCAGUUCCCAGCUCUUGGCGUCCUGCUGGACGUGGGACGGCGUGCAGGAGGAUGCAGGAGACGGGAGGCCCUGGACCAGCUGCUCCCAGGCCCUCCCCACUCAUCUCCUACUCCCCCGCGACGUCACCUCUGCCACCUCUGCCACCUCCCGCCUUCCGACCCUUGUUCUUCCUGCCAGGGACGCCCUCUGACUGACCUUGACUGCUGGCUCCUUCUCUCCACUCAGGCCUCAUCUCAGAUGGGCCCCCUGCCCUCCCAGUGGAAGUGUUCCCUGUCUGUCUCCAGCAUGCCCCGAGUGUAG
rnacentral:lncRNA from 1 species